AACAUCUACAAGGCCCAAGACUGGAUUCCCAUGGCAAGCAGCAACAACAGGAUAGACAGUGGCAAGAAGCAAGGCAAGCAGGCGACAUACUGUUUUCCUCUGACAUGUCUAAAUGGAGACUGUCCUCCAGAGCCAGUUGCAGCAAGUUCCCAGCCUGAUUAUUCAAGCAGUUCUACCGGUUGAAAAGUGACAUUCUCAGUGCUCAGUUCCCACUGACUCGAUGCAUAUCUGCUCCUGAACUCAGCUGCUGUUUUUCUGACCUGGUGGUUUUGCUGGGUGUUUUUGGAGAAUCCAUUCACUUUUGUAAUAAAAAUGACCAUCUUUUGCCCAUGUUGAUACAGACUACAGGGAUGGUAGCCCCCUUUCUGUCAGCUUGCUUCUCUUUUAGACAUCCCCCAAACUUGUUAGCUAUAUGCUUUUCUGACAAGUUCUUGUCUUUUUCCCAUGCUGCUGUAGAAUUCUAAAUUGUCUGUCUGAAUUUUCAGUCACUUCAAUGGGAUUUGAAGGAGGAGUUUUUAAUAAAUGUUGAUUGAAUUUAUUGGCUAA